rnacentral:rRNA from 1 species
GAUGAACGCUGGCGGCGUGCCUAAUACAUGCAAGUCGAGCGAACGGACGAGAAGCUUGCUUCUCUGAUGUUAGCGGCGGACGGGCGAGUAACACGUGGAUAACCUACCUAUAAGACUGGGAUAACUUCGGGAAACCGGAGCUAAUACCGGAUAAUAUUUUGAACCGCAUGGUUCAAAAGUGAAAGACGCUCUUGCUGUCACUUAUAGAUGGAUCCGCGCUGCAUUAGCUAGUUGGUAAGGUAACGGCUUACCAAGGCAACGAUGCAUAGCCGACCUGAGAGGUCGGAAGCGCAGAAGGGAAAAAGCAAACGAACCAGGCUAAAAAGGGAGGGAGCGGAAGGAAAGCAUCCGCAAUGGCCGAAGACAUAACGGGAUAAGCGGCCGUGAGUGAUGAAGCUCUCCGGAUGGAAAAAAUAUAUUAUUAGGGAAGAACAUAUGUGUAAGAACUAGUACACAACUUGACGGUACAUAAACAGAAAGCCACGGCUAACUACGGG